CUUAACACUUUGUGAUUCAUGACUGGGGUGAAGUCGUAACAAGGUAACCGUAGGGGAACCUGCGGUUGGAUCACCUCCUUACCUUAAAGAA
rnacentral:rRNA from 1 species